UACAGGAGGGUGCAAGCGUUGUUCGGAAUUACUGGGCGUAAAGCGCGUGUAGGCGGUUUUUCAAGUCCUGUGUGAAAGCCCUGGGCUCAACCCAGGAAGUGCGCAGGAUACUGGAUGACUGGAGUGGCGGAGAGGAUGGCGGAAUUCCCGGUGUAGAGGUGAAAUUCGUAGAUAUCGGGAGGAACACCUGUGGCGAAGGCGGGUCUCUGGGCCGUAACUGACGCUGAGGAGCGAAAGCAUGGGGAGCGAACAGG
rnacentral:rRNA from 1 species